rnacentral:rRNA from 1 species
UACGGGGGGGCAAGCGUUGUUCGGAAUUACUGGGCGUAAAGGGCGCGUAGGCGGCCGAUCAAGUCGGGGGUGAAAGCCUGUGGCUCAACCACAGAAUUGCCUUCGAUACUGUUUGGCUUGAGACCGGAAGAGGUUAGUGGAACUGCGAGUGUAGAGGUGAAAUUCGUAGAUAUUCGCAAGAACACCAGUGGCGAAGGCGGCUGACUGGUCCGGUUCUGACGCUGAGGCGCGAAAGCGUGGGGAGCAAACAGG